AUUGAACGCUGGCGGCAGGCCUAACACAUGCAAGUCGAGCGGAUGAAGGGAGCUUGCUCCUGGAUUCAGCGGCGGACGGGUGAGUAAUGCCUAGGAAUUUGCCUGGUAGUGGGGGAUAACGUCCGGAAACGGGCGCUAAUACCGCAUACGUCCUGAGGGAGAAAGUGGGGGAUCUUCGGACCUCACGCUAUCAGAUGAGCCUAGGUCGGAUUAGCUAGUUGGUGGGGUAAAGGCCUACCAAGGCGACGAUCCGUAACUGGUCUGAGAGGAUGAUCAGUCACACUGGAACUGAGACACGGUCCAGACUCCUACGGGAGGCAGCAGUGGGGAAUAUUGGACAAUGAGCGGAAGCCUGAUCCAGCCAUGCCGCGUGUGUGAAGAAGGUCUUCGGAUUGUAAAGCACUUUAAGUUGGGAGGAAGGACAGUAAGUUAAUACCUUGCUGUUUUGACGUUACCAACAGAAUAAGCACCGGCUAACUUCGUG
rnacentral:rRNA from 1 species